rnacentral:tRNA from 1 species
GAAUCUUUAGCUCAACUGGUUAGAGCAGACGGCUCAUAACCGUCCAGUCGUAGGUUCAAGUCCUACAAGAUUUA